GAUAUAUAUUAUGAUAUUUAAAUUAUGUAAAACUUACUACAAAAAUGUGUAUAUAUAUAUAUAUAUAUAUAUAUAUAUAUAUAUGUAUAUAUAUAUUGAAUUUAUACUUUAUUGGUUGUACAUUAGGAAUAAGGAUAGGGAUGCAUCUUCAAUUGAUUAGACAAAUACACAUACCACUUUUCUACCUUUAGACCAUUGGUUUGCAGUAGAGAAAUUAUGUACCUGCUAAAUUAAAAUUCAAAUAUCAAAUAGAGUUUUCAACCUGCAAUACAAUAUUUUUUAUUUUAAACUUAAUCAAAUUUGCAACAUAUUUUGAAGUAGUAGAUAUUGACAACUAUUUUAUACUAAUUUUGCUAUUAUCUGUUUUAAUUUGUUAUGAAAGAUAUAUAGUUAUUCAAAUAAUGUAAUAUUUCAAGUACUUUAAGUUAUAAAUUUGAUUUUCUAAAGCUACCCACAUAAUUUUAAGAUAUGUUUGGUCACAGCAACAUCACAAUUUUCUAUGCUGAUAACUAUUACAUAACAUCGAAUGAAAUGUCUUCAAAAU